rnacentral:rRNA from 1 species
AUACGGAGGGGGCUAGCGUUGUUCGGAAUUACUGGGCGUAAAGCGUCCGCAGGCGGAUAAUUAAGGUAGAGGUGAAAUCCCAGGGCUCAACCCUGGAACUGCCUUUAAAACUGGUUAUCUAGAGUUAUGGAGAGGUAAGUGGAAUUCCUAGUGUAGAGGUGAAAUUCGUAGAUAUUAGGAGGAACACCAGAGGCGAAGGCGGCUUACUGGACAUAUACUGACGCUGAGGGACGAAAGUGUGGGGAGCGAACGGGAUUAGAAACCCCAGUAGUCC